GAUAAUAGAGAAUAAGAAGACGAGUAUCCGGUUUUGAUAAGGAGAGUUCUCUGUUUAUAAUACAAUACUAUGAAUUUUAUGUUUGUUUAUUAUUAUACGUUACUUUGACAUGGAGUAAUGUUGAGAAGACGUGAGAUGUGUUUCUGAGUGCUGCUGACCGUUCAUCAAUCUACGCAAUAAAAGAUGAGCAUUGUAAGCUGCAUCGUUUGCAUCUCUCUAGCGAUCGUCUUAUUCGUUGCAUCCGUUAUUUAUUUUGAUUAUAUUUAUGUCCGUAGAAUUACGGUGGAAUAAUGAUGAUGAUAGGAGUAUAUGAUGGCUACUACCUAGACGGUGAUUGCCUUCAUCUCACUCACCACUCAUCAGGAUUGUUACACGGACUAAAGAAUCUUUUCGCUAAUAAAAAUAACAAAUAAAAUUGGGAAAUAAAUGUCAAGAAAUCUUAAUUGUGAUUUAAUAUGUACCUACAUCCAUAAUAUGAUCUUUGUUCCUUCAUAAAAAUGUUACAACCUAACAAAAUGAUAAGACGUCCAAUAAUGUAAUUUUAUCUAAUAAAUCCUGAAUUCCCAUCACAGACUACAA
rnacentral:lncRNA from 1 species